GAACAAAAUAGUUUUUCUUUUAAAGAAAUUGUCCCAAACCCUCAGUUAUUUAACCUCUUUUAGGUGGGGAGCAGCCUAUUCCUCUCUGGAAUGAACAUGAUGGAACAGCAGAUGGGGAUAAACCUAAAAUUCUCCUCUAUUCCUUGAACUUGCAGUUUAAGGGUAUUCAAGUAACAGCCACAACUCCAUCCCUGAGAGCUGUGAGAUUUGAAACUGGGUUGAUUGAACUGGAACUUUCUAAUCUACUUCAGACCAAAGCAUCACCAGGAAGUAGCAGCUAUCUGAAAUUAUUUGGCAAAUGCCAAGUGGAUUUAAAUUUGGCAUUAGGACAAAUUGUCAAACUCAGGUUUAUGAGGAAGCUGGUUCUGAUUUUCAUCAAGUUGCCUAUUUUAAAACAAGGAUUGGAUUAAGGAAUGCCCUUCAAGAAGAAAUCAGUGGUUCUUCACAUAGAGAAGCUGUGCUUAUUACCUUGAAUAGGUCAAUUGUUUACCCACAACCUGUGGCCUUUGACAGAGUCUAAUCACACUGGAGACCUUGACACUGGUUCUGCUUUGGUAUUGACCAUUGAAAAUACUCUCAUCAUUGCUUAUUCUUCGGAGUCUCUGGUUAGCAAAGGACAUUUCAAAAACUUUUGUAUCCAUUUUGCUGAUGGCUUUGAGACAUCAUGGGAUGACUGGAAAUCUGAAAUUCGUGGAGAUCUUGUGACAAAUGCCUGUGAGUGUCUUUUAUUUUCUGUAUUGUGGUUUAGAAUUAAAAAAAAAAACCUUCAUUUGUAAAACUGAAGGAUAUACAGAUAUAGGACUAUGUUUACAUUUUAUGAAAUACAGGCUGUUUUUUCUACCUAAAGGUAAA
rnacentral:lncRNA from 1 species